GGAAAAGGGUCGAGCCAGACGAUACGCUUCGAACUCUCUCUUUCGCGCCCUUUUUCUGUUUUUCAAUCUCAUUUUCGAUUCUCCCUGCUCAUGAUUUUGUGUAGUCGGAUCUCAAACUCUCCGUGCAGACGUCCGAUUUUAGGACGAGGCUCGUAUUGUUGUUGCACAGGAUGUUUCUCCACAGAAAUUGGAAUGUCGAUACGCUUGGCAUCUUCGAAUCUCCAAAUUCUUUUAGAUACGAUGAAUUGCAGUCUGAUGCUCUCGCAAUUUGCUCAUACUUUACUUAUCAUCCGUUGUAAUGAUAUCUUAGAGGUUUGAAGAGCAAAAUCUCGAUUAGAUGAAUGUUCGACGGACUGACGCUGGUACCUGAUUUUAGACGAUGAUUAAUUUCAUAUAAACAAUCGCAGAACAUAAACAUCUGUAUUUGCAUUUGUCGUCUUCCGAGAGACGAUCGUAAAAUGUUGAAUGACGAGGCUCGUAGUUGUUGCACAAGAUGUUUUUCUAUAGAAAUUGCAAUGACGAUACACUUCCUUUUAGAUACGAUGAAAUGCAGUCUGAUGCUCUCGCAAUCUGCUAGUACUUUACUUAUCAUCCGUUGCAAUGGUAAGUCAGGCUUAUAUUUUAAUUAAAAUCUGCUGGAACAAUCAUCUAAUCUAAUUUUGCUCGUGCUUUCGCAAUCUGCUAAUACUUUACUUAUCAUCCGUUGUAAUGGUAAGUCAGGCUUAUAUUUUAAUUAAAAUCUGCUGGAACAAUCAUCUAGAGUUAAUUGGAUAUCUUAGAGGUCUGAAGAGAAAAUUUUCGAUUAGAUGAUUGUUCUCACAGACUGAUGCUGGUACCUGAUUUUAGACGAUGACUAUUUCAUUUUCGGUGCAGUUUCGCCAAGUCAUGCUUGUCUCUAAGAUUACAGCCUAUGUGCAAUUUUGAGAACUUUUGUUUCUUCAUUGAUAGGAUAAUACAUCUGUUAAGACGAGAUAAAACUGAACUCAAAGAUUUAGUUUAAUCAAAUACAACAAAUUCUUUGUUUACUUUCACGCUUCAUUACGUUUUGUUCUGAUCGAGAGUUAGCUGUAUUGAGGAACUUUUCAUUUCAUGAGUUUUUAGGCUAAACCAAAAGUCUUUGUCACUGCCAUUAUUUGCUUUACUUUUAGCGCAUAUAAGAGUGCCUUUAGCGCAUAUAGACAAUUUGUACUUGUGAUAUCUCUCUUUAAUUGCAUUUUAAAGUUCAAGACAACAGUCUUUCUGUUUGGCUUACAUUAUAAUCUUCCUGCCUAAUACUGAUCAUUUUUUCUUGUGAUUCUUAAUAUACAACUUUGUAUAAUUAAUAAAUAGCGUGUCCAAGCCUUGAAGGAAAAUGACGGUUAUCAGCUGGGGCACAUCUUGAGCUGAGAAACAGACUGAAUCUGAGUUAUUGUUUUUCGUCAAAGAAUUGAGUGGAAUGUGGAGUAGAUUGUGUGCUUGUUUUCAUUCCCGCUGUUCCAUUGGCAUGAAAAUAGUUCAGUUUGGCCGCACAAUUUUUUUUUUGCAAGAUUUCUUCUGUCUUCUGCCUUUACCACGAUAGAACCCUGUGUAUUGGCUCUCUCUAUUUUCAUACCGAACGGGAGAUUAGUACGAAUGCUAUUAGAAUAGUGAUAGGGAUAUUGAUUACUAGGCAUAUUAAGAGUAUGCAAGUAACUAGUUAGAGAGUUUGUUAUGGAAUUUAGUUAUAAAUAAACGGAAAUGAAUGAGAAAGAUAAGAAAAAUAUAUUUUUGUGAGUGAUUUAGGUCUCUCGAGAGGUAUCUCAAGAAAGAGAGGUCCAAGUGUCUCGAACGAUUGAUUUAUUCUUGUAGUUUGGUACCCUAUAUCUUUGAUUACAUUUAGUUUCUAUCAAAGAUGUUUGUUCAUUGAGUUUUCAUCUCCACGCUUAGGGCAGCCUAUCUCACUCGAAUUGAGCUUCUACUUCUACAUGUCAUUUGGUUUUAAAUUUACUUGCUCUCUGACUCCUGUAAUUAAUCAUGCAAAAUGUUUAUUCGCUGUAGUUCUUCUACUGCAAUUAUUAUUUAUCAAAUUCUAAGGGCACCUGAUCGUAAUGAACAAUGGAAGGAUGCGCGAAUCUAAUAUUCUUCUUGUCCGAACGGAUGGUUGAAGCUUUGGCCUACAGGUUUUCUCACUCCUUCUGAUAUGUUAUAUAUAUUGUCUCUCAUUGAUCUUGCUAUUAUUGCUUUCUCUAUGUUUUGGAACAUCUUAUAGGGAAGAUAGCUGAAUAUGUUAUUUGAUUAGGCUCAAGGGGUGAUAGCUUGAACAUCGCUAUGUAGGAAUGUUAAAGGCAUAUAUAUAGUAUUUUGUAUUUACAAUACAGUCCUUGAAUCCCCAUCUCAACUUAUAUGCUCUAGGUGUGGUAAAGCUAUAAGGAUUUUAGUGCUUAGAAUGAGCCAUAGAUAUUAAGGAAUGCUUAUAUUUUCGUUUCUUUUCUCUACAACCCGAAACACCAAACACAUGCAUUGGAUAAAAUUCUCUUCCUUCUUCUUUUUCUUCGUCCUUUUUUUUUUUCUCGUUUGUAAACAAAUAUUUUCGUACCAUAUUUUGGAACCGUUUUCUUAUUCUAAUUUUUUGUACUUUUAUCAAAUUUUCAACAAAUGGAAUGAAAUUAAAAUUUCAAUUUAUUAUAUUUGACUUUUUACAAGUCACUUUAAUUUUACCAUUGUUUCUCAAUUUUGGAGAACAAGAUAUAAGACAUUGCAUUAUUUUUCAUGAAUAAAGUAGCGGGGAAUUAAAAAUUUACUCAAAGUUAUUUUUUGAAGAAUAAACAAUUUUUUUUUGAGAAUUUAUGAUUGUUUGAGGCCAACAUUCUAUAAUUUUUGUGAGGAGUACAUAUUUUUUUCAAAGAAAUCAUAAUACAGUUUUUGACUCUCUUGAUGUGAUGAAUUUCUGGAGGACGAAGUCAAACGAUUUAAGGUACGCACUUCUUCUCUUCUAUAACUUGGAACCUAAAAGAAUUUAACCUACAUCACAAAGAGUGCUUUCAAAUGUAGGAAUAUUUCGUUAAAAAGAUGUCUAUUUUUUAAAUAGAAACAGAUCAAUAUCCUCAAAUCAGUUGUAUAGACUGAAUUAAAUUAACAUUCUUAGGAUGUAGUUUUAAGGAUACAUUUUGGAUUGAUUUUCUAAGUAGAAAUUUUGUCUGCAGUUACAAACACUUUAUAUAUUUAAAAAUUCAAUUAAAACAUGUAUAAGUUUCUAACAAAAUGUUAUAUUAGAUUUAGAUUGAUUGAGAUGUUAGGGUCAUAAGGUAGCUCGAUCGGCCACCAAUUAUUAUUAUGAAGGGAACAAAAAGAAAGAAAGCUGUGUGGCAUUGGUUUAGGUAUAAGUCUCACAAAAGCAAAAUGUGAAAACUUUAUUACAAAUUUGCUCUGAGAAAGAACAACAGCUUUCUUCUUCUGUACAAUUUACAAAUUGAGUAAGAGAACAUAUGUUACACUGAUUACAUUACUUUACCCACAAAAAAAAAA